rnacentral:lncRNA from 1 species
UCUUUGCAUGGAAAAGCAAUAAAACUAGAACAAGCCAGGAAACCAUCUUUUCAAAGUUGUGGUAGGCGGAGACCACCACCUUCUUCAAAAAACAGGACACCUGCAGGAAGUCUGAGAUCUGGAAGACGAAGUAGUGGAGGAACAAGAGGGUGGCUUCUCUCAUAUGAAGGACACUUCGAUGAUGGUGGAUACACUCCUGAUCUCAACAUGAGUUCUUCUAGGGGACCCAUUCCAGUUAAAAGAGGUCCCUCUUCAAGAAGUCGAGUCCCUCCUCUGAAAAAAUCUGCUCUUUCUGCUAUGGUAAGAAGCAAUAGUUGGAUGGGAGGCCAAGAUCCCAUAUCAUGUGGAAGAGAGAAUUAUGGAGGUCCUCCAUGCAGAGUGACAAUCUCUUCCUGGAUAAAUGACCAUAUGUCACCAAGAGAUGAUGGUUAUGCAAUUAAGGAGAGACAUCAUCCAAGUUCCCGAGAAACUAGGGAUUAUGCUCCACCACCUAGAGGCUAUGCAUACUGUGAUUAUGGUCAUUCUAGUCAGGAUGAACAUUCCUCUAGAGGAUAUAAUGAUCAUGGUGGCUACUCUGAGGCCUGUGGUAGAGAUCUUUCUCAAUGUGCAAGUGGAAGUUCUUACAGAGAUGCAUUUCAGAGAUAUGGACCUCUCAUGGUGCAGCACCUGCACAAGGACCUGGGAUGUCUUAUGGUGGAAGCAGCCAUCAUGAUUAUAACAAUACUCGAGAUAGAUAUGGCAGAAGUCGGGAGAGUUACUCAAGGAGUUGCAGUGAUUUUUAUUCCUGUGGUCAUGAGCACUUUGGCAGAAAAGACUGAAGGAAUACACCUUCUCUGGAUAGGGUGCACCCUGCUCCUCAUGUAGCAUAUGGUAGGUCAAGUUAAGUGGCAUCUAUAGGAGAUAGUGGGGAAAGUCGACCUGAAAAAGGAGACUGAAGCAGAUACUAA